rnacentral:rRNA from 1 species
UACGUAGGGGGCAAGCGUUGUCCGGAUUUAUUGGGCGUAAAGAGCGUGUAGGCGGCCAGGUAGGUCUGCUGUGAAAACUCGAGGCUUAACCUCGAGCUGUCGGCGGAAACCAUCUGGCUAGAGUCCGGAAGAGGAGAAUGGAAUUCCCGGUGUAACGGUGAAAUGCGCAGAUAUCGGGAAGAACACCCGUGGCGAAGGCGGUUCUCUGGGACGGUACUGACGCUGAGACGCGAAAGCGUGGGGAGCGAACAGG